CUACCAUGCAGUCGAGCGCACUCUUCGGAGUGAGCGGCGGACGGGUUAGUAACGCGUGGGAACGUGCCCUUCUCUAAGGAAUAGCCACUGGAAACGGUGAGUAAUACCUUAUACGCCCUUCGGGGGAAAGAUUUAUCGGAGAAGGAUCGGCCCGCGUUAGAUUAGAUAGUUGGUGGGGUAAUGGCCUACCAAGUCUACGAUCUAUAGCUGGUUUUAGAGGAUGAUCAGCAACACUGGGACUGAGACACGGCCCAGACUCCUACGGGAGGCAGCAGUGGGGAAUCUUGGACAAUGGGCGCAAGCCUGAUCCAGCCAUGCCGCGUGAGUGAUGAAGGCCUUAGGGUCGUAAAGCUCUUUCGCCAGAGAUGAUAAUGACAGUAUCUGGUAAAGAAACCCCGGCUAACUCCGUGCCAGCAGCCGCGGUAAUACGGAGGGGGUUAGCGUUGUUCGGAAUUACUGGGCGUAAAGCGCACGUAGGCGGAUCAGAAAGUAUAGGGUGAAAUCCCAGGGCUCAACCCUGGAACUGCCUUGUAAACUCCUGGUCUUGAGUUCGAGAGAGGUGAGUGGAAUUCCGAGUGUAGAGGUGAAAUUCGUAGAUAUUCGGAGGAACACCAGUGGCGAAGGCGGCUCACUGGCUCGAUACUGACGCUGAGGUGCGAAAGUGUGGGGAGCAAACAGGAUUAGAUACCCUGGUAGUCCACACCG
rnacentral:rRNA from 1 species